rnacentral:rRNA from 1 species
GAUGAACGCUGGCUACAGGCUUAACACAUGCAAGUCGAGGGGAAACGACGGGGAAGCUUGCUUCCCCGGGCGUCGACCGGCGCACGGGUGAGUAACGCGUAUCCAACCUGCCUCUGACUGAGGGAUAACCCGUCGAAAGUCGGCCUAAUACCUCAUGGUAUCGUCUGCGGGCAUCCAACAACGAUUAAAGAUUUCAUCGGUCAGGGAUGGGGAUGCGUCUGAUUAGCUUGUUGGCGGGGUAACGGCCCACCAAGGCUACGAUCAGUAGGGGUUCUGAGAGGAAGGUCCCCCACAUUGGAACUGAGACACGGUCCAAACUCCUACGGGAGGCAGCAGUGAGGAAUAUUGGUCAAUGGGCGAGAGCCUGAACCAGCCAAGUAGCGUGCAGGAAGACGGCCCUAUGGGUUGUAAACUGCUUUUAUGCGGGGAUAAAGUGAGGGACGUGUCCCUCAUUGCAGGUACCGCAUGAAUAAGGACCGGCUAAUUCCGUG